rnacentral:rRNA from 1 species
GAUGAACGCUGGCGGCGUGCCUAAUACAUGCAAGUCGAGCGAACAGAUAAGGAGCUUGCUCCUUUGACGUUAGCGGCGGACGGGUGAGUUACACGUGGAUAACCUACCUAUAAGACUGGGAUAACUUCGGGAAACCGGAGCUAAUACCGGAUAACAUAUUGAACCGCAUGGUUCAAUAGUGAAAGGCGGCUUUGCUGUCACUUAUAGAUGGAUCCGCGCCGUAUUAGCUAGUUGGUAAGGUAACGGCUUACCAAGGCAACGAUACGUAGCCGACCUGAGAGGGUGAUCGGCCACACUGGAACUGAGACACGGUCCAGACGCCUACGGGAGGCAGCAGUAGGGAAUCUUCCGCAAUGGGCGAAAGCCUGACGGAGCAACGCCGCGUGAGUGAUGAAGGUCUUCGGAUCGUAAAACUCUGUUAUCAGGGAAGAACAAAUGUGUAAGUAACUGUGCACAUCUUGACGGUACCUGAUCAGAAAGCAACGGCUAACUACGUG